AGUCCGGGCGAGUGGAGGGCGCUGGAGGCCGCGGGACCGCCGCAGCGGAUAGGCCAGGUUGCCCGGCACGCGGAAAACCGGCGCGGAGUGGUCCGCACGGCCGCCCCUUGUCUUUCUCCUAGAUACCCAAAUCAAUACCUAGUCAAAAAGCAGACCGGGGCCACCCUCUCUGGCCCUCCCAAGGCGACCUGCUGCCAGUGCUCCUCCUCCCGCGCUCGUCCGCAGCUUGCUGAGACCGGCCAGAGAGGGCAAGCUACUGUCUCCGCGUCACACAGGGUCGGGACUGCUGAGGUCGACUCGGGCACCACGCCCCUCCGCUGCCCCUUUAGGACCCACGCUGUUCAGCAGAGGUCCCCGGUCCCCCGCCAGGUGGAGCAAGGGCGCCCGUAGCUGGCAAUGCAUCCAAGCAGCGCCCCCUGGUGACGAAAAGCGGCAAGGCAAGAGGCUGGAAGGAUUCAGCUGCCGCCAUCCUGCCUGGAGUUCCCUCUGCUUCCUGAUCCUGCCAUGAUGUACUAUGCUCCUAUGGGCCUGAAAACAAUGGAGCCAAGCAACAAUGGAUGGAAACCUCUACAACUUAAAGGGGCACAGAAUCUCUGCUGAUCCCUGCAUAUGCUACCUCUGACAAGGAUGAGCCAGAGAAAGGCACAGAAGAAUCCUGGAAAGAGCAAGGAGAGUUAGGAACAGGACAGGAGGGGACUGGCUUUCCACUGAAACAUUCCACUUACACACACAUGUGUAUAUCUAUGUAUGUUUUGUAUAUAUGUAUGUAUACACAUCUAUGUAUAUGUAUGUAUAAUCUCACUAAACAGUUGUACUGCUGGGUUUGCU